rnacentral:rRNA from 1 species
CCUACGGGAGGCUGCAGUGGGGAAUAUUGCACAAUGGGGGAAACCCUGAUGCAGCGACGCCGCGUGAGUGAAGAAGUAUUUCGGUACGUAAAGCUCUAUCAGCAGGGAAGAAAAUGACGGUACCUGACUAAGAAGCCCCGGCUAACUACGUGCCAGCAGCCGCGGUAAUACGUAGGGGGCAAGCGUUAUCCGGAUUUACUGGGUGUAAAGGGAGCGUAGACGGCAGCGCAAGUCUGGAGUGAAAGCCCAUGGCUUAACCAUGGAACUGCUUUGGAAACUGUGCAGCUAGAGUGCAGGAGAGGUAAGCGGAAUUCCUGGUGUAGCGGUGAAAUGCGUAGAUAUUAGGAGGAACACCAGUGGCGAAGGCGGCUUACUGGACUGUAACUGACGUUGAGGCUCGAAAGCGUGGGGAGCAAACAGGAUUAGAUACCCCUGUAGUC